rnacentral:lncRNA from 1 species
ACACAGAAUACCACAGAAGGAUAAUGGCUAACUUGAAGUUCUCAAUAAUCCUUAUGUUCAUUUUACUAGUUUCAGCGGCAGUGAUAGGAGCUCGUCCCGUCCGAGUCCGACCGAUAAGUGUAGCCCGAGAAGCACUGGAGGCUCAAAUGGAAAGACAGAAAAUGAUGUAUCAAACUAAUCAAGAACGGCCUGAACGGGUUAGUCCCGGAGGACCCGAUCCUCAUCACCACUUUGAACACUUCAAAUUUCAAAACUCAAGCAUCAAGGGUUGAUAUUAGGGCUAGAGUUGAAAGUCUUGUGGAAUUAAUCAAUGUAUUUUACUUGUAAUGGUGUAAAACUUUCAACUGAGAAUGGUUCGAGGUUAUGUUAUGUUGUUGAAGACUUGAAUUUUCUACCGUUUUUGAGACAUGGAAGUGCAACAAAGAAUAAAAUCUAAUACCGAGGCCAUA